CAUAAGCAUUCUGGAAUGUUGACUCAAUUUGGGGGCUUUUAAGUCUGAAUUUUAAGUUCUGACUGCUCUUUUUAAAAGCGAGUGCCUCUUGAUCAUCAAAGCAAUGCUCCCUUAAACCGCCUCACAUAACAAAGUCUUGGCUCUGCAUCUACACAGAGAAUCACGAGAAUGCAAAGGAUACAGAAGAUAAUCAAAGGAUAUAUAGCUUUAACAAUCAAGCCAACAGGUUCUUUCUGCUUGGAAAGCAACAACAAAACUGAAUGGUUAAACUGAUUCCUGAAGCAAAUGAAAAUGAACGGUGUUGAUGAACUAAAGGUUCAUGCCUCUUGGGUGACUGAAGUCCAUUUGGAAAAGAUUAUCCUUACAUACAGAACUCCUCUCAAACUUCAUAGUGAUCAAGGAGCCCAUUCCACUGAUAAGGUAUUUUGACAAGUCUGCAGAGUUUGUACAGUUCUACUCUUUUCCUGUUUACCACCCUCAAUCCUCUGAUUUAGUUGAAUUCAUCAACACCAUUAUUAAGACUCAUUUGGCAAAAUGUGUAUAGGCCCUACCUUAGUCAAAAGCAUCGUCACUGGUCCUUCUAAAUCUCAAAUCCACCCCCUAUUUAUAGAAAGACAGUUUACAUAACUUUCUACAUAACAAAGAAAGAUGUAAGUUUCAUACUUCAUGCAAGUAUGAAGGUCCCAAAUCCAGGUCAAAAUCUGAAAUCUUUUUUAUCCAGUAGCCCCUGUACCAUGGCUUCCCAGGUGAUGCAGUGGUAAAGAAUCUUCCUGCAAUACAGGAGAGGCAAGUCCAAUCCCUGGGUAGGAAAGAUCUCUGGAGUAGGAAAUGACAACCUGCUCCAAUACUCUUGCCUGGAAAACUCCAUGGACAGAGGAGCCUGGCGGGCUGUAGUCCAUGGGGUCACAAAGAGAUGAACAUGACUGAGCAACUGAGUACACACAAAGAGAUAAAGAUAACCAUGACAACUCAAUAGUUUUACUGAAUAUGAAGCUUGACUGAGUUGGUAGCUUUCACCAGACUACCUUCCAAUGGCUCACAAACAUUCAUAAUAUCUUACAAAAUGUUAGUGCAUUUAGUGUUUAUAUUUUAAUCAGCCUCUUCUUGUUCAUUCUCUCACAUGCUGCAGGCUUAAUACUCUCCAGAUUUGGAGUAAUCUUGACUGAGGAAAGAAGUGUAUAGCACAGCUGCUACUGCAGCCUCCAGUGGGUCUUGGAAUAGUCAGAGUCAUCCUUGGGAUAUAAUGGCCUGUCAUGGCUACUGUGUUCCUUCAUUCUCCCCUGACUCCUCUCCCAUCAGACUUCUCCAGAGUUAAUUAAAGCCUGAUCAGGUAUGCCAGGGCAAGCCCUACAUACACACUUGGCUUCUGAUUGUCAGUGUGCUCUGUCUGAUGCUCUCGUCUUGAUUUCCGAUCCAUGAGUUUCCUGGUGUAAUACUCUGCCGUAACAUAAACAACAAUUUCCUUGAAUGACUAUCCUCGCUCUUUUUUGCCCAGCCCUCUUUCCAAAGGGCUAGAUCUGCCCAGUUGCUGCUAAUCCUGACAGAUCUUCUAGAAAGAUGCCUUCUUGAACCCUGACCCAGUGUAAGACUUCCUGAAAUAGAUGUUCUUCAGGACAUACU
ensembl:lincRNA